AGUCCCUGAGAUGACUAUGUUGUCAAAGACAAAUCGUGGGUCAAGAUUGAAAUGGGGGACAGUCUGGAAUUUACGAGGAUGAGAUAGAAUGGACAGCCCUGUGACAUCAACUUGGAAGAGGUUGGACUCCAGAUUUGGAUACUCAGAUCCCGGAACAGGCUGAUUGGAAAGAGAAGAAUGGACAAAAGAAGUCAACCACACACAGGUACAUAGUCUUACCAGACUUGGAAGAUUGGGCUGGAUGAAUGUAUUGCACAUUGGGAAACUGGCGUAUCUUGAAAUUGGCGAGGGAAGCUUUGGAGAAAUGGCUUGAGAAAGACAUGUUGAAGAGGAAAAAUACGUUAAGGCUUGCCAAUCAGCUGACUGCAGCAGCAGCAGCAGCAGCAGCAGCAGCAGUGAUGCACAGAUCUGAUCUGCGUUGGCAAUAUACUUGUAAUUCGGACAUGCAUCUCCAGGACACCAGCCUUAGCAGGAAGGGGAGCCAAUCAAGGGGAAACAAUUAUGCAAAUUUAAAAUGUAAACU
rnacentral:lncRNA from 1 species